UCACUUGUACUAAAAUCAAUCGUCUUUAUAUUUUAACCUUAUACAAUCAAGAUGGCAAUUGAACUACUGUUGCAGUAAAGCUUUAGUGAACAGAUAUCCUAUGUUAUUUUUUAUAUCUACUAAUUUAAUGAUUACAUAUUGUCUCUCGAUAAUCUCACGAAUGAGAUGAAAAUGUCUUAGAAUGUGCUUAGAUCUAUGAUA
rnacentral:lncRNA from 1 species